CGAAUGCUGACAUAAGUAACGAUAAAGCGGGUGAAAAGCCCGCUCGCCGGAAGACCAAGGGUUCCUGUCCAACGUUAAUCGGGGCAGGGUGAGUCGACCCCUAAGGCGAGGCCGAAAGGCGUAGUCGAUGGGAAACAGGUUAAUAUUCCUGUACUUGGUGUUACUGCGAAGGGGGGACGGAGAAGGCUAUGUUGGCCGGGCGACGGUUGUCCCGGUUUAAGCGUGUAGGCUGGUUUUCCAGGCAAAUCCGGAAAAUCAAGGCUG
rnacentral:rRNA from 1 species